rnacentral:rRNA from 1 species
UACGUAGGGCGCAAGCGUUGUCCGGAAUUAUUGGGCGUAAAGAGCUCGUAGGCGGCCCUGUAAGUCCGCUGUGAAAGUCAAGGGCUCAACCCUUGGAUGCCGGUGGAUACUGCAGGGCUAGAGUCCGGAAGAGGCGAGUGGAAUUCCUGGUGUAGCGGUGAAAUGCGCAGAUAUCAGGAGGAACACCGAUGGCGAAGGCAGCUCGCUGGGACGGUACUGACGCUGAGGAGCGAAAGCGUGGGGAGCGAACAGG